rnacentral:rRNA from 1 species
UACGGAGGGUGCAAGCGUUCUCCGGAUUCACUGGGUUUAAGGGGUGCUUAGGUGGGUUGGUAAGUCAGUGGUGAAAUCUCCAGGCUUAACUUGGAAACUGCCAUUGAUACUAUCAAUCUUGAAUACCGUGGAGGUCAGCGGAAUAUGUCAUGUAGCGGUGAAAUGCUUAGAUAUGACAUAGAACACCAAUUGCGAAGGCAGCUGGCUACACGAAUAUUGACACUGAUGCACGAAAGCGUGGGGAUCAAACAGG